UGGAGCGGGUGACGAGAAUCGAACUCGCGCUCUCAGCUUGGGAAGCUGAUGUUCUACCAUUAAACUACACCCGC
rnacentral:tRNA from 1 species